AAGUUAUAGUCCCCCGGCCCUCUGGGCUGGGGUCUUCUAUACCACCCUUUGUUUAUUACACCUUUGUUGCUUUGGCAGGCCUGCCCUCGGGCUGCUGGCUCCGGCCGAUCGUGCCCGCCAGAGGACCCAAAUUCUUUUUAUUAGUGAUGUCUGAGUACUAUAUAAUAGUUA
rnacentral:misc_RNA from 1 species